GUAUAUAACUCUCGGACGUGUGUUGUUGAAGAAGCCAUACAUGUAAAAUUUAAUGAUUAUAAGCUUGAGAGUAAUUAUCAGAGCUAGAAGACUGAUACGGUUUUGACAUGCAAGUUAAAAACAAUAGUGCAAUAGAUUCCACUAUGAAUGAUCUUGCGAUAGGGUUAGGGUCUUGUGUAAAGCUUUGUUCACGUUUUCCUUUCCUCACCGUUAGGUCUCUAUUAGACGGUGUCUUCUCCAUUUGCUUUCUCAUUUGCUUUCUCACGGUUGCCCUUCAUCUAUAAAAGGUGCAGCCCAUUUCAUUGUAAACUUAGCUUUGAUGAAUCUAGUGUGGUUUUUAUCCCUCUUCAGAGCUCACCUUUCCUAGUAGAGGUUUUACAUCCUAGGGUUCCAAAAAUAGUGAGAGUCUGAGUAAGAGUUCCCCACUGGAACUCAAUCGAGUCUUUCGCUGUGUCUUUUGGUUGAUUUCCACAGAAUAAAUCGACGUCUGGGGCUGCUCAUGUGAUUCGCCUUUAAUUAGAGGAAGAUUCCACCGAAUCUGCGUGAUGUUGGCCUCAUCAAGUGGUAUUCAGAGCCACUCGGUUCUCAAAAGUGUUGCAAAAUAAGCAUCUUCUCUUUGAUUUUUUUUCUUUAUCUAUUUGAUUUCGUAUUGUUCAUGCUUGCUUGAGUCUGCUUCUCUGAUGAUUUUGUGCUAUUGAUUGUGUUUUUCUCGUUGAAAUUGAUUCAAUGUUCUUGUUCUGAGUUUUCUGAAUCAAUCCUGUGAUGAAUUGUCUUAGCUCUUUAAUUUUGUCGCUCAAUGCAUGUCAAUUAGGUCUGAUUUCAUUUUAUUACUUAGCUUUGAAUUUUCUGAUCGUUGUUUUGUCUUAGGUUUAUGUUAGUUGCUUGGUAUGUCAUUAAUUCUUUGUUUUUAUGUUCUAUUGAUGCCUUAACAGUUGUUCUACGAAAUUGACUUUCAAUAAUUGGUGUAUUGCUUUGUUCACUAUAUUAAAUUCUGGUUGUGCGAGUAUAUCAAAUUGUAUCCAUCUACUGAAUUUUCAUUUUGCAGUUCCAUUGCCAUUGCUUGAGUCAUGUUUAGUGAUUGAUCAGUGUUUUAUGAUGCUAUUUUUCUGUUAGCCAAUUCUGAUUCCUGCCACUGUUGUCAUUGUUAUCUGAUUCGUUGUGUUGUUUCUUAAAUGUUGCACUAAGCAGAGGCAUGAGGAAUUUAUGUACACUAGCCUACUUAUCCUUGUGGCUUGAUAACAUUGUGGAGUGAACAUUGGAUUCAAUAUGAAACAUUGAGUUUGGCCAUAUAUGUUUCAAUGCAUCGCAGUUUCAAUUCUGUUUAAUUCGCUAUGUGUCCUGUUCAGUUUGCUAAUAUAUUCAUUGCAUCCAGUUUUUGUGCAGUUGUAUCAUUUUUUUUGCAUCACAGAGUCUAUUUUGUUGAGUAAAAUCUCAUUCAUAAUUCUACUCGUCCCUGCACUAGCCGUGACUUUCUUUGUUGAUUCUUUGUUGAGUAUUGAUUGAAAUCAGAUUCAUAUGCAUUGUUGCGAUGCAGUUUUUCUAUGUUGAAUGUUGAUUCUUGGUGUAGUGCUGUUUUUGGCCAUAUUAAUUGUCUUGAAUGACCUGGUGCUUUAAUAUGUUGAUUCCAGCAUACAUUCCAUUUUUUUUCUUUGAUUACGAAUCUGUGUUUGUUUCUUUGAGGUCCUGUUAUGGCAUGUCUUGGCCAAGCCUAUGUUCUGAAGUCUCUAAUUUUUACAGUUUCACUGCACUAUUUGGAGUCAUCUUUUACUUGUUGUGUUGUUCCAAAUUUUUUUUAGUUGAAUCAAUUGUUAAUCAGUCUACAUUUGUUAAUUGAAUUGAAAGUGAAAGCUUAACAUUUGUUGUGACCUUGUGGCCUGACAAAAGAGUUCAUAGGUGGUAUUUGAGAACUAAUAAGAAAAGUCAGUGAAAAGAAAAAAUGAUUUGAGAAAAAGCAUCUAAAGAGCAUGAAGAAAAACAAAAGUCUUGCUUGAAUCUGAAAACCUUUGUUAGUUUUGGCAAAAUACAAGUUGUCUCCAUAGUUCACACCAUGCCUACUGCUUUUUUCAAUUUCAAUUUACAUGUGCUCUUGAUUCAACUUAUUUUAAGUCUUGUUUGGUUUUAGUUUUGUUCAUCAUGUUCUAGACACAUUCUUUAGUUCUCUUUUGAGUGCCAUCCUUUAUUACUUUUCCUUUUUCUUGAUUUUCUUUGUUGGCCAUCCUUUAAGUUUGUCUAUUAAAUCUUUCACUUGAUGUUGUCCAAUUCUUCCAUUUGAUUUUUUCUUGCUUUUCUGCUUUGUUAUUCUUAUGUGGAAGAAUGUGAGUGUUAUUGGUUCAUUUGGCUUGAAACUCACUGAUUUGGCAACUUUGGCUAAGGAAAGAUAAGGUACUUAAGUUGUCAAUUGAGACACACCUCUCUUUCAUGGAAGUGUACUAUGGAAGAGGAGUUUAUGAGGCAAAUGGAGGAGAUGGUAACGGUAAUAAUGACCAGAUUUGAAUUAGGCCUACAAGUGGGGAGGACAAAAAAGGGAGGCGGGAACUCAAAUAGUGGUCGUGGAGAUAGUGAUGCAUGGAGAAGGGAGGAAAGGGUGAAGAGAGUGGAAGUACCCUAGACGAUCCUUAUGGCUGGGUAUAUAGGGCAUAUUGUAACACCCCAAAUUUAGGAUGUCACGAGAAGCUAUCAUUGCUCUUUUUGUUUAAAAGUAAAACGAUUAUAUCACAAAGGGACACUGGAAAAAAAAAAACUUACAAUUUAAAUGUAAAUAUGUAAUCCAAAACUUCCAUUGAAAAUUGUAAUAAUAAAAAAAUAAAUUUCCAAUUAAACACUAGAAAAAGAAAUUUUCAUAGUCUUCACUAUUUGAUUAAAAUCAAUUAAAGAAAUAAUAAACCCCCAAGUCCAUCCCAUCUUCUCCGCAAUCUACUUCAUGACAGAAACAUCUUCAUUACCAUCUACUCCCGUAUAACACACACGUUAUACAAUCAUUGCACAAGCAACAAACACACCAAACAAACAAAUAGGGGUAAGCUAACCAUAAACAAUGAUAUUUAUAAAAGAAAUCUGUAAAUAACACAUGUUCAGUAAUACUCAACGUCGCAUUCAAGUAACACUUAAGCAUUAUGAUCACAAUCCAUCCUUGGUUUGAACACACAAAACCCCAAGAUCCAACCAAUCAUACCAAACCAAACAUAGCAUCACAUUCAUCUAAAAAUCUUCAAACGUAGUCAUCAUAAUCAAGCUUUGAUUUUCCGUGGCCUUUUACCCCACAACAACAUCUAGUUUCCUAGAAAUAGAUGGCUCGAUGUGUCCCACUAUCACAGCCAGACUGUCUCCCUUAUUGCUCAAGGAAUUAUGAGUAAAAACGUCGAUGCAUCGCACAUCGGGCACUAUACUCGCAAUGAGCCGAAAUAAGGUGAAACAUUUUUCCCUUCCCUACUGCUUCACACAGGCGAGAGGGUACAACACUUGAACCAAUCAUCUACCAAUGCUUCACACAAGCGAAGAGGACUCCUUUUCACUGCUUCACACAGCCGAAAGAGUCUUCAUUGGGUAUCUAGGUACGAAAAACCUCACACAACACUCAAUUCCAACAAGAGCUUUCAAGCAAGUCUAAACACUCCCAACAUGCAACACAUGAGGAUUACUUAUUGCCAACCAAAUACAUACCAUCACACCAUGCUUGAAAAAUAAAGUCUCCUAACAAAAACCAAACUAAUAUAUCACACAUGUAUUUAAUACACACCAAAUAUUUAAUAAAAUGCAUGGGAAAGAAAAGAAAAUAAAUUACAAACUCAACUUGCACCUAAAAUUUUUAAAGAGUGGAAAAAUAUAUGUUAUCUUUUGUGAAAAGGAGAAAGAAUAGGCCAAGUAAUUGAUGGUGGUUUCAAAAUGAGCAAGGGAAAGAAGAUGGCUAAAAAUUCUUAAAAAUAUGAUAAAUGUAUGGUUGUUAUUGUUUGGAUCCAAAUUAAAAUCAUAUCUAUUAAACAUUGUAAAAAUAAAAAAUUACAAAGUAUUGUCAUCACAAUAGUACUAUGGCUUUAUAGAUUAGAUGUUUUGUUGAUAAGUAUCAAUAAAGUAUCUUAAAGUAUCUGAGACGUGUCCGACACGGAUUCAUGACCUAAAUUCAAGUAUCGGUGCAUCAUAGAUUGAAACUCAAUUAAGUUAAGAAAAUAGUGAAAAAUAAUUAAAUCUAUGGGAUUAAAUUUACAUUUAAUAAGCAUGAGUUAACAUAAUUACUAAUUAAAGAAUAUAAUUAACUUUUGUCUUUUGUGUGAAACUGCUACUACUAUUUGAGUAUAUAUAGAUGAAUAGUUGUUGUGGAAUAACACAUUCAGUAAACAACAUGGGGUCUUCAAGAUGUUUCAUUGUCAAUGUGACACUCUUGUUAGCCCUUCUUCAUCAUGAAUUCAGAUUUGUGCAUGAUGAAGGCGGAAGCAAGAGGACCCAUUUAUCGAUUACCAUGUGACAACGAUAAACAGUGUCAAGUUGGGUGCAAAAAUCCAAAUUGUGGAUGUUCAUCAGUAUGCAUUCAACAUGUUUGUCAGUGUCCACAUGAUCUAACUUCUACUGAUAUUGUCAAAUCACCCCACCAAGAACCACCACCACACCACCAGAGUCCACCACACCAUGGUCCACCACAUCACUUACCACACCACCACCCACAUCAUCACCAAGCCCCAGCACCACACCACCACCCAUAUCACCACCAAGCACCACCACCACCACACCACCAAGCACCACCCCCACACCAUGUACCCUCAAAUUGAGUCAUCUUCUUCGGAUGGAAUUCAUCAAUCCCUUUUUCACAUGUAUUCUUAGUUCUUAAUAAAAUGUGAUUGUUUCAUGUUUCA